rnacentral:rRNA from 1 species
GACGAACCGAGCGAACGUUGUUCGGAAUCACUGGGCUUAAAGGGCGCGUAGGCGGGCUGUCAAGUCUGGGGUGAAAUCCCGCGGCUUAACCGUGGAACUGCCUCAGAUACUGAUGGCCUCGAGGGAGAUAGGGGCGAGCGGAACUAAUGGUGGAGCGGUGAAAUGCGUUGAUAUCAUUAGGAACUCCGGUGGCGAAGGCGGCUCGCUGGGUCUCUUCUGACGCUGAUGCGCGAAAGCUAGGGGAGCAAACGGG